AAUAGAUACCCGGGUAGUCCACGCCGUAAACGGUGGGCGCUAGGUGUGGGGGACUUUCCACGUCCUCUGUGCCGCAGCUAACGCAUUAAGCGCCCCGCCUGGGGAGUACGGCCGCAAGGCUAAAACUCAAAGGAAUUGACGGGGGCCCGCACAAGCGGCGGAGCAUGUGGCUUAAUUCGACGCAACGCGAAGAACCUUACCAAGGCUUGGCAUGCAGGGAAAUCUCGUAGAGAUACGGGGUCCGCAAGGGCUCUGCACAGGUGGUGCAUGGUUGUCGUCAGCUCGUGUCGUGAGAUGUUGGGUUAAGUCCCGCAACGAGCGCAACCCUUGUCCUAUGUUGCCAGCGAGUAAUGUCGGGGACUCAUAGGAGACUGCCGGGGUCAACUCGGAAGAAGGUGGGGAUGACGUCAAAUCAUCAUGCCCCUUAUGUCUUGGGCUGCACACAUGCUACAAUGGUCGGUACAAAGGGCUGCGAGACCGCAAGGUGGAGCGAAUCCCAAAAAGCCGGCUCAGUUCGGAUUGGGU
rnacentral:rRNA from 1 species